CCCUUAGAUGUUCUGGGCGGCCCGCGCACUACAAUGGCGUGUGCAGCGAGUGCCGAGGUAGAGUUUUCCGAGGUAUUCUUGCAAUGCUCGUUUUGAUGGGGAUAGACCCUUGCAACUGUUGGUUUUGAACGAGGAAUUCCUUGUAAGCAUGGUUUAUCAUCCGACGCUGAAUGCGUCCCUGCCCUUUGUACACACCGCCCGUCGCUCCUACCGAUGAGUCGUCCGGUGAAGUUCGUAGACCUCGUGAUCGCGGAUCACUGGGGGAAGCAAAAUGAACCUCGCGGUUUAGAGGAAGGAGAAGUCGUAACA
rnacentral:rRNA from 1 species